CUCACAGAGCUGAGGCGUCUAGUCCAACCAUCAUGGAAAUAAUAGAAGGUAGUAGCUAAGUGCACCAAUUUGGAGCCAGACUGCCUGUGUUGCAAAACCAGACUCACCGCAAACCAACUCCAUGACAGGAAAGAAAAUGGAAAUUGUAUCCUCCACUUGCUGAUAUUUUUUUCUCUUUUUUUCCACUUGCUGAUAUUAUAGUAACUAAUUUAUAGAAGACAAAAGGU